GCAGUCGAGCGGACAGAUGGGAGCUUGCUCCCUGAUGUUAGCGGCGGACGGGUGAGUAACACGUGGGUAACCUGCCUGUAAGACUGGGAUAACUCCGGGAAACCGGGGCUAAUACCGGAUGCUUGUUUGAACCGCAUGGUUCAAACAUAAAAGGUGGCUUCGGCUACCACUUACAGAUGGACCCGCGGCGCAUUAGCUAGUUGGUGAGGUAAUGGCUCACCAAGGCAACGAUGCGUAGCCGACCUGAGAGGGUGAUCGGCCACACUGGGACUGAGACACGGCCCAGACUCCUACGGGAGGCAGCAGUAGGGAAUCUUCCGCAAUGGACGAAAGUCUGACGGAGCAACGCCGCGUGAGUGAUGAAGGUUUUCGGAUCGUAAAGCUCUGUUGUUAGGGAAGAACAAGUGCCGUUCAAAUAGGGCGGCACCUUGACGGUACCUAACCAGAAAGCCACGGCUAACUACGUGCCAGCAGCCGCGGUAAUACGUAGGUGGCAAGCGUUGUCCGGAAUUAUUGGGCGUAAAGGGCUCGCAGGCGGUUUCUUAAGUCUGAUGUGAAAGCCCCCGGCUCAACCGGGGAGGGUCAUUGGAAACUGGGGAACUUGA
rnacentral:rRNA from 1 species